UCCCUGAUAGCUCAGUUGGUAAAGAAUCUGCCUGCAAUGCAGAAGACCCGGGUUCGAUUCCUAGGUCGGGAA
rnacentral:tRNA from 1 species